rnacentral:rRNA from 1 species
UGGGGAAUAUUGGACAAUGGGCGCAAGCCUGAUGCAGCCAUGCCGCGUGUGUGAAGAAGGCCUUCGGGUUGUAAAGCACUUUCAGCGAGGAGGAAGGUGGUGGACUUAAUACGUUCAUCAAUUGACGUUACUCGCAGAAGAAGCACCGGCUAACUCCGUGCCAGCAGCCGCGGUAAUACGGAGGGUGCAAGCGUUAAUCGGAAUUACUGGGCGUAAAGCGCACGCAGGCGGUUUGUUAAGUCAGAUGUGAAAUCCCCGGGCUCAACCUGGGAACUGCAUUUAGAAACUGGCAAGCUAGAGUCUCGUAGAGGGGGGUAGAAUUCCAGGUGUAGCGGUGAAAUGCGUAGAGAUCUGGAGGAAUACCGGUGGCGAAGGCGGCCCCCUGGACGAAGACUGACGCUCAGGUGCGAAAGGCGUGGGGCAGCAAACAGGAUUAGAUACCCUGGUAGUCCACGCUGUAAACGAUGUCGAUUUGGAGGUUGUGCCCUUGAGGCGUGGCUUCCGGAGCUAACGCGUUAAAUCGACCGCCUGGGGAGUACGGCCGCAAGGUUAAAACUCAAAGGAAUUGACGGGGUCAUAGCUGUUUCC